rnacentral:rRNA from 1 species
CAUAUCAGAAGGCACACCCGGAGAACUGAAACAUCUUAGUACCCGGAGGAAGAGAAAGAAAAUUCGAUUCCCUUAGUAGCGGCGAGCGAAACGGGAAGAGCCCAAACCAACAAGCUUGCUUGUUGGGGUUGUAGGACACUCUAUACGGAGUUACAAAGGACGACAUUAGACGAAUCAUCUGGAAAGAUGAAUCAAAGAAGGUAAUAAUCCUGUAGUCGAAAAUGUUGUCUCUCUUGAGUGGAUCCUGAGUACGACGGAGCACGUGAAAUUCCGUCGGAAUCUGGGAGGACCAUCUCCUAAGGCUAAAUACUCUCUAGUGACCGAUAGUGAACCAGUACCGUGAGGGAAAGGUGAAAAG